AUUGAACGCUGGCGGCAUGCUUUACACAUGCAAGUCGAACGGUAACAGGCCGCAAGGUGCUAACGAGUGGCGAACGGGUGAGUAAUGCAUCGGAACGUGCCCAGUCGUGGGGGAUAACGCAGCGAAAGCUGUGCUAAUACCGCAUACGAUCUAUGGAUGAAAGCGGGGGACCGUAAGGCCUCGCGCGAUUGGAGCGGCCGAUGUCAGAUUAGGUAGUUGGUGGGGUAAAGGCUCACCAGGCCAACGAUCUGUAGCUGGUCUGAGAGGACGACCAGCCACACUGGGACUGAGACACGGCCCAGACUCCUACGGGAGGCAGCAGUAGGGAAUUUUGGACAAUGGGCGCAAGCCUGAUCCAGCAAUGCCGCGUGCAGGAAGAAGGCCUUCGGGUUGUAAAGCACUUUAGUGGGGGAGGAGUAGGAUCUGUUGAAUAGGCAGGUCUGAGGACGUUACCCCAAGAAUAAGCACCGGCUAACUCUGUGCCAGCAGCCGCAGUAA
rnacentral:rRNA from 1 species